rnacentral:lncRNA from 1 species
UUUGUUUUUUUUUUUUUUUUUUUUAUUCAACAACAAUAUAUCACAUGCUGUUAACAGAUUUCUUCACUGGUACAGCUAUUUCAGUAAAGAUCCCUGUUUGUUAGUACCUUAAGACCAGGGUAUCUUCAGGUAGUAUUUUUAUAAUUUUGUUAGUUUAUAUAUUAUUUGUCAUUAUACAUUGUUUAUCAUUAAAUACAUUAAUUCUCUAUAAUUUUACAAUUAUAACUUUGAAUAUGAACUUUAUAUUUAUAUAUUGUAACUAUCUGAUAGAUGUUGGGGAUAAAAACAGAAUCACGGGUUAUUUAAGCGUGUUCCGAAUUUGAUUUGUGGUUUAAUGUAUUUCUCUGUUGUCCGGUAUAACGGUAAAUUCAUUUGUCAUUUUUUGUGUGGAUUAUAAUUACUUUCACCACGUGCUUGCCAAAUUUAAAUGAAUUAGCCACGGAAGGUAGGUUUACAUAAGAAUCUUGUUCUCAUAAUGUAUUAAGCAUAAUUUGCAUAUC